ensembl:snRNA U6 U6 spliceosomal RNA
GUGCUUGCUUAAGCAGCAUGCAUACUAAAUUGGAGCAACACAGUAGAUUUACACGGCUUCUGAGCAAGGGUGACAGAAGUUUAUGAAGCAUUCCAUACUUUU